GGAAAAGAAAUCAACCGAGAUUCCCUAAGUAGCGGCGAGCGAACGGGGACUAGCCCUUAAGCUAGACAACUGGUAGGAGAAGGCUCUGGAAAGUGCCGCCAUAGUGGGUGAUAGCCCCGUAUCCGAAACCUGAGUUUAGUGAAAUCGAGUAGGACGGGACACGUGAUAUCCUGUCUGAACAUGGGGGGACCAUCCUCCAAGGCUAAAUACUCCUGACUGACCGAUAGUGAACCAGUACCGUGAGGGAAAGGCGAAAAGAACCCCUGUGAGGGGAGUGAAAUAGAUCCUGAAACCGUAUGCGUACAAGCAGUCGGAGCGGACUUGUUCCGUGACGGCGUACCUUUUGUAUAAUGGGUCAGCGACUUAUGUUCAGUGGCGAGGUUAACCGUUUAGGGGAGCCGUAGGGAAACCGAGUCUGAAUAGGGCGAUUUAGUCGCUGGGCAUAGACCCGAAACCGGGCGAUCUAUCCAUGAGCAGGUUGAAGGUGCCGUAACAGGCACUGGAGGACCGAACCCACUGUCGUUGAAAAGCCAGGGGAUGACUUGUGGAUCGGAGUGAAAGGCUAAUCAAGCCCGGAGAUAGCUGGUUCUCCCCGAAAGCUAUUUAGGUAGCGCCUCGGACGAAUACCACAGGGGGUAGAGCACUGUUUCGGCUAGGGGGUCAUCCCGACUUACCAACCCGAUGCAAACUCCGAAUACCUGUGAGUACUAUCCGGGAGACACACGGCGGGUGCUAACGUCCGUCGUGAAGAGGGAAACAACCCAGACCGCCAGCUAAGGUCCCCAAGUACCAGUUAAGUGGGAAACGAUGUGGGAAGGCUCAGACAGCUAGGAGGUUGGCUUAGAAGCAGCCAUCCUUUAAAGAAAGCGUAAUAGCUCACUAGUC
rnacentral:rRNA from 1 species